AACGAACGCUGGCGGCAUGCCUAACACAUGCAAGUCGAACGAGAUCUUCGGGUCUAGUGGCGCACGGGUGCGUAACGCGUGGGAAUCUGCCCUUUGGUUCGGAAUAACAGUUGGAAACGACUGCUACUACCGGCUGAUGACGAAAGUCCAAAGAUUUAUCGCCAGAGGAUGAGCCCGCGUAGGAUUAGCUAGUUGGUGUGGUAAAGGCGCACCAAGGCGACGAUCCUUAGCUGGUCUGAGAGGAUGAUCAGCCACACUGGGACUGAGACACGGCCCAGACUCCUACGGGAGGCAGCAGUGGGGAAUAUUGGACAAUGGGCGAAAGCCUGAUCCAGCAAUGCCGCGUGAGUGAUGAAGGCCUUAGGGUUGUAAAGCUCUUUUACCCGGGAUGAUAAUGACAGUACCGGGAGAAUAAGCUCCGGCUAACUCCGUGCCAGCAGCCGCGGUAA
rnacentral:rRNA from 1 species